rnacentral:rRNA from 1 species
UACGAAGGGGGCUAGCGUUGUUCGGAAUCACCGGGCGUAAAGGGCGCGUAGGCGGCUUUAUAAGUCGGGGGUGAAAGCCUGUGGCUCAACCACAGAAUUGCCUUCGAUACUGUAGAGCUUGAGACCGGAAGAGGUAAGUGGAACUGCGAGUGUAGAGGUGAAAUUCGUAGAUAUUCGCAAGAACACCAGUGGCGAAGGCGGCUUACUGGUCCGGUUCUGACGCUGAGGCGCGAAAGCGUGGGGAGCAAACAGG